rnacentral:rRNA from 1 species
UACAGAGGUCUCAAGCGUUGUUCGGAUUCAUUGGGCGUAAAGGGUGCGUAGGUGGCGCCGUAAGUCAGGUGUGAAAUUUCGGAGCUUAACUCCGAAACUGCAUUUGAUACUGCGGUGCUUGAGGACUGGAGAGGAGACUGGAAUUCACGGUGUAGCAGUGAAAUGCGUAGAUAUCAGGAGGAAUACCGAUGGCGAAGGCAGGUCUCUGGGCUGAUACUGAUACUGAGGUGCGAAGGUAUGGGGAGCGAAUAGG